UACGGAGGGUGCAAGCGUUAAUCGGAAUUACUGGGCGUAAAGCGCACGCAGGCGGUUUGUUAAGUCAGAUGUGAAAUCCCCGCGCUUAACGUGGGAACUGCAUUUGAAACUGGCAAGCUAGAGUCUUGUAGAGUGGGGUAGAAUUCCAGGUGUAGCGGUGAAAUGCGUAGAGAUCUGGAGGAAUACCGGUGGCGAAGGCGGCCCCCUGGACAAAGACUGACGCUCAGGUGCGAAAGCGUGGGGAGCAAACAGG
rnacentral:rRNA from 1 species